rnacentral:rRNA from 1 species
ACGCACUUGGCUGGUUCAGACUCUCGUCCAUUGACCAANAUUCCUCACUGCUGCCUCCCGUAGGACUGUCGUGAGCCUACGGAGGCAGCAUGGGGAAUAUUGGACAAUGGGGGGAACCCUGAUCCAGCGACGCCGCGUGAGUGAAGAAGUAUUUCGGUAUGUAAAGCUCUAUCAGCAGGGAAGAAAGAAAUGACGGUACCUGACUAAGAAGCCCCGGCUAACUACGUGCC